GAGAGUUUGAUCCUGGCUCAGGACGAACGCUGGCGGCGUGCCUAAUACAUGCAAGUCGAACGCUUCUUUCCUCCCGAGUGCUUGCACUCAAUUGGAAAGAGGAGUGGCGGACGGGUGAGUAACACGUGGGUAACCUACCCAUCAGAGGGGGAUAACACUUGGAAACAGGUGCUAAUACCGCAUAACAGUUUAUGCCGCAUGGCAUAAGAGUGAAAGGCGCUUUCGGGUGUCGCUGAUGGAUGGACCCGCGGUGCAUUAGCUAGUUGGUGAGGUAACGGCUCACCAAGGCCACGAUGCAUAGCCGACCUGAGAGGGUGAUCGGCCACACUGGGACUGAGACACGGCCCAGACUCCUACGGGAGGCAGCAGUAGGGAAUCUUCGGCAAUGGACGAAAGUCUGACCGAGCAACGCCGCGUGAGUGAAGAAGGUUUUCGGAUCGUAAAACUCUGUUGUUAGAGAAGAACAAGGACGUUAGUAACUGAA
rnacentral:rRNA from 1 species